CCUACGGGCGGCUGCAGUGGGGAAUAUUGGACAAUGGGCGAAAGCCUGAUCCAGCCAUGCCGCGUGUGUGAAGAAGGCCUUCGGGUUGUAAAGCACUUUCAGUGGGGAAGAAAGCCUUGGGGCUAAUACCCUCGAGGAAGGACAUCACCCACAGAAGAAGCACCGGCUAACUCCGUGCCAGCAGCCGCGGUAAUACGGAGGGUGCGAGCGUUAAUCGGAAUUACUGGGCGUAAAGCGCGCGUAGGCGGUCUGAUAAGCCGGUUGUGAAAGCCCCGGGCUCAACCUGGGAACGGCAUCCGGAACUGUCAGGCUAGAGUGCAGGAGAGGAAGGUAGAAUUCCCGGUGGAGCGGUGAAAUGCGUAGAGAUCGGGAGGAAUACCAGUGGCGAAGGCGGCCUUCUGGACUGACACUGACGCUGAGGUGCGAAAGCGUGGGUAGCAAACAGGAUUAGAUACCCUAGUAGUC
rnacentral:rRNA from 1 species